rnacentral:rRNA from 1 species
UAGGGAAUCUUCCACAAUGGACGCAAGUCUGAUGGAGCAACGCCGCGUGAGUGAAGAAGGCUUUCGGGUCGUAAAACUCUGUUAUUGAAGAAGAACGUGUGUGACAGUAACUGGUCAUGCAGUGACGGUAUUCAAUCAGAAAGUCACGGCUAACUACGUGCCAGCAGCCGCGGUAAUACGUAGGUGGCAAGCGUUGUCCGGAUUUAUUGGGCGUAAAGCGAGUGCAGGCGGUCUUUUAAGUCUGAUGUGAAAGCCUUCGGCUUAACCGAAGAAGGGCAUCGGAAACUGGGAGACUUGAGUGCAGAAGAGGAGAGUGGAACUCCAUGUGUAGCGGUGAAAUGCGUAGAUAUAUGGAAGAACACCAGUGGCGAAGGCGGCUCUCUGGUCUGUAACUGACGCUGAGGCUCGAAAGCGUGGGUAGCAAACAGGAUUAGAUACCUGGUGAGUCCACGCCGUAAACGAUGAAUACUAAGUGUUGGAGGGUUUCCGCCUUCAGUGCUGCAGCUAACGCAUUAAGUAUUCCGCCUGGGGAGUACGACCGCAAGGUUGAAAC